rnacentral:rRNA from 1 species
AAAGGAAUAGACGGGGACCCGCACAAGCAGCGGAGCAUGUGGUUUAAUUCGAAGCAACGCGAAAAACCUUACCAAGACUUGACAUCGCAUGACAGGUGUAGAGAUACACUCUUCCCUUCGGGGACAUGUAGACAGGUGGUGCAUGGUUGUCGUCAGCUCGUGUCGUGAGAUGUUGGGUUAAGUCCCGCAACGAGCGCAACCCUUAUCAAUAGUUGCCAAUAUUAAGUUAGGAACUCUAUUGAGACUGCCGUGGAUAACACGGAGGAAGGUGAGGAUGACGUCAAAUCAUCAUGCCCCUUACGUCUUGGGCUACACACGUGCUACAAUGGCUAUUACAAAGAGCCGCCAGCCGGUAACGGUGAGCAAAUCUCAUAAAAAUAGUCUCAGUUCGGAUUGUGGGCUGCAACUCGCCCACAUGAAGUCGGAGUUGCUAGUAAUCCCGAAUCAGAACGUCGGGGUGAAUGCGUUCCCGGGUCUUGUACACACCGCCCGU